CCCUAAGUAACGGGCGAGUGGAAGCGGGAAGAGCACAAAUUUUAAAUCUACCUGGGUUUCCAGGUCGAGUUGUAAUUUGAAGAAGUGUUUUUUACUUUCCGGGUUGGGUUAAAUCCUUUGGGAUAAGGUAUCAUGGAGGGUGAGAAUCCCGUGUAUACCAACCGCAGGAUCGUUUAAUAUACACUUUCUAAGAGUCGAGUUGUUUGGGAAUGCAGCUCUAAAUGGGUGGUAAAUUUCACCUAAUGCUAAAUAUAAGCGAGAGACCGAUAGCGAACAAGUACCGUGAGGGAAAGAUGAAAAGAACUUUGAAAAGAGAGUUAAAUAGUACGUGAAAUUGUUGAAAGGGAAACGGUUGAAGUCAGUCAUGCCGGCGGGAAUCAACUUAGGGGAAACUCUGAGUGCACUUCUUCGCUUGGCAGGUUAGCGUCGAUUUUGGAUGUCAUAAAAUGACUGGGGGAAGGUAGCUCUUUCGGGAGUGUUAAGCCCUUAGUAGAUGUGAUGUCCGGGAUCGAGGAUUGCAACGGAUACCUUUUGGGCUARCCGCCUAGUCUCUAAUACGAAGUUGGGUUAUGGACAGCACGCUGACCUGUGAUCUGAUUUUCGGUUAAAAGAUUAGAGCGAGCGUAAAUUCGUAAGGACGCG
rnacentral:rRNA from 1 species